AUCCGUAAAGUUUCUCCAAGUUCAUUCAUGACAUCGUGACAUAAAUGUAUCAAUAAUUAUUAAUUUUACUCCGUACCGCUACUGAACGUUCGGAAGUAUUCGGAAAUUUUGUCAGCUAACCAGUUUCACACUGCUGUUAAUCAUAACCCAAAAAAAUUUUCGAUUCUUGACUUUGACGAUUACUCUACGUAUAGAAAUUCAAUGAAAUGGAUAGACCAGGCCAAUUAGGAUAUAUGGUGUUGAAUGAAGAUGGUGCAGUACUCUCUUCUUCGGGCGAUUUAGAAAAUGAAGAAAAAUUUGCAAAUUCUAUCAUGGAACUGAUCAAUUUAUCUUCUCUGAUUGAUAAUGGUUCUGGAUAUCCUGAAGGUUUUACAAAAUUAUCGAUCGUGUAUGAUGAUCACUAUUAUGUUAUUUGUUUGUCCAAUAGAAAACUAUACAUUGUCAAGAAGAGUUUUUCAUAAACUUAUAUUUAGCAAAUUUGUUAAGAUAACCUAUUCAUAUUGAAUUUGAAAUUCAACAGCCUAUUUCUUUACUAUAAACUCUUCUAAUUUUUUGCCAGGGCAUAAUUGCUUAUAAUAAUGAAAUAAAAAUUAAUUCAGACCAUU